CCGCCCCCGCCCGGCCGUACGCCGCGAACACCCGCGCCGGCGCCGCCGCCGACUUGUCCUCCCGGCGCCGGAUCCACGCCGCGCACGCCACCUUCCCGCCUCCCGCCGCCGGAGCGUCGCCGCCGUCCAUGGGUGGCGGUUGUGGUGGCCCGGAUAGGUUCUCUCAGAGGGGUUUAGAGCUUUGCGAGGGGAGCCCGCGAGUCGAGGCGAAGCCGAAUCGAGCGCUGUGCCGCUGUUGUUUGAGGAGAGGGAAGGGUGGAGGUGGGGAUCAGACGGCGAGGGCGAGCCGAAAACGACGACCAAAUCAUGUGCGU
rnacentral:misc_RNA from 1 species